ACACCACACAUUUGGUUUGAAGGCUGAGCAGAUCGGACCAAACCCAUGAUGCUUUCUUCUUCUUCUGGUUUAACUGGUAAAUAGAAGUUUAAUGUGUUCUCGAGCUUCAGAGGUGAAGACGCCCGUAGCGGCUUCCCAGACCAUCAACCUAAGUUAAUCUAUGUGGCGUUUGGAGCUACAAUGAUGUUGCUUGUCUUUCAUACAUGCCUCACAGGUGGCGUUUGGAGCUACAAUUUGCGACAGACCUUUCACCAUGUGUUUGUGUUUCAAGGUGCACAAGCCUUUGUAGCUGAGAUGACCAUAACGAUGGUGCCAAAGUGUUGACUGGUCCGUAUUUGAAACUUAGAACCAUCUUUCUUCAUUUGUUGUGGUAGAUGCUUCAGUACGCAAAAUAAACAGUCGAUUUGCGCUCAUAAUUGACUCUGCUAUUUUUCCUUUUUGUGGAUGAUAAAUGCUACAUACACCAUCUUUAAACAACACUCCUACUCAUUUUUCU